AGAGUUUGAUCCUGGCUCAGGAUGAACGCUGGCGGCGUGCCUAACACAUGCAAGUCGAGCGAUUCUCUUCGGAGAAGAGCGGCGGACGGGUGAGUAACGCGUGGGUAACCUGCCCUGUACACACGGAUAACAUACCGAAAGGUAUGCUAAUACGAGAUAAUAUGCUUUUAUCGCAUGGUAGAAGUAUCAAAGCUUUUGCGGUACAGGAUGGACCCGCGUCUGAUUAGCUAGUUGGUAAGGUAACGGCUUACCAAGGCGACGAUCAGUAGCCGACCUGAGAGGGUGAUCGGCCACAUUGGAACUGAGACACGGUCCAAACUCCUACGGGAGGCAGCAGUGGGGAAUAUUGCACAAUGGGCGAAAGCCUGAUGCAGCAACGCCGCGUGAGCGAUGAAGGCCUUCGGGUCGUAAAGCUCUGUCCUCAAGGAAGAUAAUGACGGUACUUGAGGAGGAAGCCCCGGCUAACUACGUGCCAGCAGCCGCAGUAAUACGUAGAGGGCAAGCGUUGUCCGGAAUUACUGGGCGUAAAGGGUACGCAGGCGGAUAUAUAAGUCAAAUGUGAAAGGCACCGGCUCAACCGGUGAGCGGCAUUUGAAACUGUAUAUCUUGAGUUCAGGAGAAGAGAGCGGAAUUCCUGGUGUAGCGGUGGAAUGCGUAGAUAUCAGGAAGAACACCAGUGGCGAAGGCGGCUCUCUGGCCUGAAACUGACGCUCAGGUACGAAAGCUGGGGGAGCGAACGGGAUUAGAUACCCCGGUAGUCCCAGCCGUAAACGAUGGACACUAGGUGUUGGGGGUUUGAAUCCUUCAGUGCCGAAGCAAACGCAUUAAGUGUCCCGCCUGGGGAGUACGGUCGCAAGACUGAAACUCAAAGGAAUUGACGGGGGCCCGCACAAGCGGUGGAGCAUGUGGUUUAAUUCGAUGCAACGCGAAGAGCCUUACCGAGACUUGACAUCCCGUGACUAUCUGUGAAAGCAGAGUCUGCCUUCGGGCACACGGAGACAGGUGGUGCAUGGUUGUCGUCAGCUCGUGUCGUGAGAUGUUGGGUUAAGUCCCGCAACGAGCGCAACCCCUAUCCUUAGUUGCCAGCGGGUAAUGCCGGGGACUCUAAGGAGACAGCUGGUGGAAGCCGGAGGAAGGUGGGGAUGACGUCAAAUCAUCAUGCCCUUUAUGUCUCGGGCUACACACGUGCUACAAUGGCCAGUACAGAGGGAAGCGAAGGAGUGAUCUGGAGCAAAUCCCAGAAAGCUGGUCCCAGUUCGGAUUGCAGGCUGCAACUCGCCUGCAUGAAGCCGGAAUCGCUAGUAAUCGCAGGUCAGCAUACUGCGGUGAAUACGUUCCCGGGCCUUGUACACACCGCCCGUCACACCACCCGAGUCAGAUGCACCAGAAGUC
rnacentral:rRNA from 1 species